CACCAAAAGCACAGGAGGCGGGUCUCUUCUAAAUGAUAAUAAAAGUCCCCUUCCCUAAUCAAUAAACAAUUAUAUCACACCUAGUGUGUGCCAGGCACAAA